CACGGGGGGAGCAAGCGUUGUCCGGAAUCAUUGGGCGUAAAGAGCGUGUAGGCGGCCCCUUAAGUCCUGCGUGAAAUCCCCGAGCUCAACUCGGGAACUGCGUCCGAUACUGGCGGGCUUGAAUCCGGGAGAGGGAUGCGGAAUUCCAGGUGUAGCGGUGAAAUGCGUAGAUAUCUGGAGGAACACCGGUGGCGAAGGCGGCAUCCUGGACCGGCAUUGACGCUGAGGCGCGAAAGCCAGGGGAGCAAACGGG
rnacentral:rRNA from 1 species